rnacentral:tRNA from 2 species
GUGAACAUAGUUUAAAAAAAACAUUAGACUGUGAAUCUGAUAAUAGAAGCUCACAACUUCUUGUUUACC